GGAGAGAUGGCUGAGCGGUUUAAGGCGCACGCUUGGAAAGCGUGUAAGGGUUUACGCCCUUCGGAGGUUCGAAUCCUCUUCUCUCCG
rnacentral:tRNA from 1 species